UAGUACGCUCUCUGGAGGAAGCAAGAAACAAGGCAGUGCAACCUAAGUUUCCUAUGAAGAGUGGAAGGAUUCCUGUGGUUAGAGACAUGAAAAUGUGUGCUGGUAAAGGACUGUUAUCUCAUCGCCAGCAGAAAUGGUUUGAGGAAAUGCCCAAUGAUGGUUCCAUUGAAAUCCCAGUGUUGUACAGGGAAAUGACAAGAUUUCUAAAAGGUGAAGAAAACGAAGAUGUGAUUGCAGUCCGUGAAGCUAGAGGCCUCAGUGAUUUCAUUAUUCCUGAGAGGACAAAUGGCAAUAUCAUUGAACAUAUCUCAGAGCGCGGACGAGGCCGUCAUAAUGAAGCCACAGUUUUAGGAAAUGGAACUGUUCAUUUUGGAGCCUGGUAAGUUGCUUUGGACAAAACUGUCAGAAUCUGAUGGAACAAUUGAACUUCUAUUAAAAAAGAUUGAAAAUGACUCUGAUCUGGAAGCCUUUUCAAUUGAAAGUUUUGGAGAGUUAUGGGAUGUCAUCUCUCAGGAAUCCUUGUAUAGAAGGCAGUGGAUUCAAGAGAUGGAUGAAUCCUUAAUCAAGUGUGAAGUGGCUUGAGCUGAGAAAGUGAGCUAAAGUUUGAAUGGUUAUUAAUUAAUUCCUAGAUUAAGAAUUUGUUCCCAACCCUGGAUGAAGAGCAGGAAGCAACUUUCUCCCUAUGGGUAUUAUUCUGUUCCAGGCCCUAACCAGAGCGGAGCCUUCCUUUAGUGGAUUAAGCUGUCAUUCUCUAUCCAACCUGCACAGGGGAGAGAUUUGUACAACAUUCAUAGCUUGUUUCCUCUCUCCCCCGACACCUGCAGGGGAGAUGUGAAGAGGCCAUGCAGGUAUAUGUGAGGUGUCUGAUUCUCCUUUAUGCCUCUGGUUGAUUGGUUAGGGUAAAACCAUGAUCAAAACCUAAAGUAUUUGUUAAUAUGCAAAUCAAACACCACCACUAAGAAAUUCUAUGUGCUAUCUGAUUAGCUAUUGUGCCGACUAGUGUAACAUUUCCAGUCUUUUAAGCACUAGAAACCAAUGUUCACAACAUAAUCUUAACUCAUCAGAACUCUAGAGUUCUUACACCCAUACUAUAUGUUUCUUAACUAACUUAUUCCCCAGGAACUUGGGCAGGGAGGGGGAGGAAAGCCUGGCUAUAAUGAAUCAUUCACUAAACAAUUGUAUACAUGAUGGAAACAAAUAAACAAACACAAUCAUCCUUGGUACUUAAGUACUCAUCUUCUGAAGUUUGUUACAUGUCUUGUAGCAUUGCUAGGGAACCAUUUUACUUCAAGGUUCAGCAUUUGAUUAUCACUUAAUCUAUUAUUUGUUAUAAUAUGAUAGUAUCGGAUGAAUGGUCUGGCAUUUUCUGGUCUGGCAACAUGCAUGGUCCAGCAUGAUUUUAGCUAGCUGGCUGUCCUCUUAUCAUUGGUGUGGCCAAGUUUCCCUUGGUUC